AUCACUUAUAAAUCUUCUAUAAAUUAUCUUUAAUUUCUCUUUUCCACUUUUCUGUUUCAGCCUCCUGGUAUUUUUAAGGAAAUGUAAGACUGUGAAUCAGGUACUGAUGGUUUUGACUUCAUUAUGAUCAGCAUCUUUGGCUUCCAUCAGAGUAGACACUGAACGUUUUCAUCCAACCGGAUGAUGAGUGCAUUAAUACUCUUCACUCUCAACUCAGGGAAAAGGACCCUGACAGGACACCCUCCUGUCGGAGCUAACAGAUGUGCACCUUUGAGAAUGAUCAUUGAGAAGGGAAGCCAUGUGACUUCAUCCUCCGUGGCUCUGGUGGUCUCUUCGACAUCUGUGAGAUACUCACUAAAAGCUGGUUGCGCUUUGAGAUCUGGGCGCCUGCUGGAACCUGGAGCCACAAGUCUUCAUGCUAAAGAACUCCUGUCUUGGUGGAGGAAUAUAUAUGAUUGUAAGACCAGGCACCUGUGGCUCACACCUGUAAUCCCAGCACUUUGGAAGGCUGAGGCGGGAGAUCACCUGAGGUCAAGAGUUCGAGACCAGCCUAGCCGACAGGGUGAAACCUCAUCUCUACUAAAAAUACAAAAAAUUAGCUGGGUGUGGUGGUAUGUACCUGUAAUCCCAGCUACCCAAGAGGCUGAGGCAGAAGAAUCACUUGAACCCCGGGGACACAGGUUACAUAUGUCUUCCUAUGAGGGAAAUAAAAUAGCAGGAAGUUUUCCUCUUUGCCUGUGAGGGGAUUUAUGAAAAGCCUUCUAAUCUACAAGUGUUCUUCUGCAAAACUAAAAUACAUUAUGAAGUCAAACAGGUAAAUUAACAACAAAACCAAACUUAUCUCAACAGUCUUGUUUCCAAAGUAAAAUCUAUUAAGAACAAGUAAUAUAUAAGCACAAGAAAUUACAAGAAAUG
rnacentral:lncRNA from 1 species